AUUGAACGCUGGCGGCAUGCCUUACACAUGCAAGUCGAACGGCAGCACGGGAGCAAUCCUGGUGGCGAGUGGCGAACGGGUGAGUAAUAUAUCGGAACGUGCCCAGUCGUGGGGAUAACGUAGCGAAAGCUACGCUAAUACCGCAUACGAUCUAUGGAUGAAAGCGGGGGAUCGCAAGACCUCGCGCGAUUGGAGCGGCCGAUAUCAGAUUAGGUAGUUGGUGAGGUAAAGGCCCACCAAGCCGACGAUCUGUAGCUGGUCUGAGAGGACGACCAGCCACACUGGGACUGAGACACGGCCCAGACUCCUACGGGAGGCAGCAGUGGGGAAUUUUGGACAAUGGGCGCAAGCCUGAUCCAGCAAUGCCGCGUGCAGGAUGAAGGCCUU
rnacentral:rRNA from 1 species